UACGUAGGGGGCAAGCGUUGUCCGGAAUCAUUGGGCGUAAAGAGCGUGUAGGCGGUCCGGUAAGUCGGCUGUGAAAUCCCACGGCUCAACCGUGGAACUGCAUUCGAUACUGUCGGGCUAGAGGCAGGUAGGGGAGAUCGGAAUUCCUGGUGUAGCGGUGAAAUGCGCAGAUAUCAGGAGGAACACCGGUGGCGAAGGCGGAUCUCUGGGCCUGUCCUGACGCUCAGGCGCGAAAGCUAGGGGAGCGAACAGG
rnacentral:rRNA from 1 species